rnacentral:rRNA from 1 species
UACAGAGGGUGCAAGCGUUAAUCGGAUUUACUGGGCGUAAAGGGCGCGUAGGCGGUUAUUUAAGUGAGAUGUGAAAGCCCCGGGCUCAACCUGGGAACUGCAUCUUAUACUGGGUAACUGGAGUACAUGAGAGGGUAGUGGAAUUUCCGGUGUAGCGGUGAAAUGCGCAGAUAUCGGGAGGAACACCAAUGGCGAAGGCAGCGCGCUGGGACGUGACUUACGCUGAGACGCGAAAGCGUGGGGAGCAAACAGG